UACGAAGGGGGCUAGCGUUGUUCGGAAUUACUGGGCGUAAAGCGCGCGCAGGCGGCUAUCCAAGUCAGUGGUGAAAGCCCGGAGCUCAACUCCGGAACUGCCAUUGAAACUGUUUAGCUUGAGGAUGAGAGAGGAGAGUGGAAUUCCUGGUGUAGCGGUGAAAUGCGCAGAUAUCAGGAAGAACACCCGUGGCUAAGGCGGCUCUCUAGUACGGUACUGACGCUGAGACGCGAAAGCGUGGGGAGCGAACAGG
rnacentral:rRNA from 1 species